GCAAUCUUGAGGGGACUUUAAAAUAAAGAAGACUCUAACCUUGCAAGACAUCUUUGGUCUGUGUGAGCGUAUCCACCUGUGUUUGAAGCUGACUGCACUUUACCUCCAGACCUGAGGCUUGUUCCUGAACCUGAGCCAUCUGCUCCUGGAGACAAACCACCACACCUCUGAAGAGACAAAAGCAGAGACGCAGUCUUCAGUUCCCUGCGCAAACCCGCCAUCUCGGAGCCAAGUGCCUGGAUUUGGGCUUGGGCUUCUGCCACCUCGGUCUCCAGCUGAGGAGUCAGGGAGACAAAAUCACAACUCUCAUCCGUCCAAC